rnacentral:rRNA from 1 species
UACGGAGGGUGCAAGCGUUGUUCGGAAUUACUGGGCUUAAAGCGCGUGUAGGCGGGAUGCCAAGUGUCGUGUGAAAGCCCCGGGCUCAACCCGGGAAUUGCGCGGCAAACUGGUGUUCUUGAGGCAAGUAGAGGUGACUGGAACGACCGGUGGAGCGGUGAAAUGCGUAGAUAUCGGUUGGAACGCCGGAGGCGAAAGCGGGUCACUGGGCUUGUCCUGACGCUAAGACGCGAAAGCGUGGGGAGCAAACAGG